UGCGUAGGGUGCGAGCGUUAAUCGGAAUUACUGGGCGUAAAGCGUGCGCAGGCGGUUCGUUGUGUCGGCGGUGAAAGCCCCGGGCUCAACCUGGGAAUGGCCGUUGAAACUGGCGAACUGGAGUGUGGCAGAGGGGGGUGGAAUUCCGCGUGUAGCAGUGAAAUGCGUAGAGAUGUGGAGGAACACCGAUGGCGAAGGCAGCCCCCUGGGCUAACACUGACGCUCAUGCACGAAAGCGUGGGGAGCAAACAGG
rnacentral:rRNA from 1 species